CUUCAGUGAUGAGACGAUGACGAGUCGGAACAGAACUCAGUCUGGUUCUGGUGGUUACUGGCUCAGAUCCACGUUCUGUGGUUCUGGGCCAGUUCCUCAGAGCAGGGAGUUCUUCUUAGUUGAAGACAUCGAGGCAUUUGUCUGAGAAGG
rnacentral:snoRNA from 1 species